GGAUGGCUCAAGCCAUGUAUUGUCCUUUGAGAAGUUGGGGUUGGGAAGCAAUACAUCCAAUUUUCUUUCACUUUAUCCUUUUCUUGUGAAAGAGAAUACCCAAUGGUUCGUAAGCAAAACAUCCAAAUCUUUUUCACUUUUUUUUUCUUGUUAAAGAGAAUACAAAAUGGGUUCGAAAGCAAUGUACCCCCAUUCCUUUCACUUUGUCUUUUUCUUGUUGUAAGAGUAUAAAAAUACCUUACUUUAGAAUCACCUCCUCUUGAGGUAAUGCUCGUUAAAUGUAUUUGUUUGCUUCUCUAGUUAUAUUGGUAGAAAACUCUUAUCAACCCUUCCCCAUUGAAAUUAUCUGCUCAUAUAUUUGCAUUGCUGAGGUAGCAUAAUCUGUCCUUCUUGUGCAUGAUACCAUUCAACAUUCAUAUUUUCUAGCAAAUUCGUGAAACACCAACACCAGUACCAGGCACAUGAGUUGUUGUUGAAUAAGGCAUAGAUUUCAGAAUUUCACUUUUACUUUGCCAAACUGUUGCAUUGGGUUGAUUUACAAUACAGAAAAUUCGUGAAGCACCAGGUCCAGUACCAAACAUAUUGUUGUUGAACAAGGCAUAGAUUUCAGAAUUUCAUUUUUUCUCUACCGGAUAGUAGGGUUGAUUUACGAUACAGCAAAUUCGUGAAGCACCACUACCAGUACCAAACAUAUGAUUUGUUGUUGAACAAGGCAUAAAUUUCAGAAUUUCAAUUUUACUCUGCUGGAUAAUUGCAUUGCAUUGGUUUACGAUACAGGCAUUAGAGCACUGAGCGCGAGACUUACAAAAGCUAUCAACAAAGAGGAGCAUUCCAGCCGCAGUCUUUGAUUUCAGAAGGAAAUGGCUACGGACAUUAUAAUUGCAAUUGGCUCAAAAAUUGGAGAGUGCUUGGUCACACCAAUAGGAACAGAGUUUGGCUAUUUGUUUAAUUACCAUUCCAACCUUGAAAGUCUUAGGGGUGAGAUAAAAAAGCUUUUUGACAAGAAAGAUGGAGUGCAGAAAUUGGUAGAUGCUGCCAAAAGGAACGGUAAAAUCA